GGUUGUAACCUCACUGUCACGCUAAUGGACGCAAAAACGAAGAGUGGUAGUACUAUCAAUGGUUCAGUCAGCGCCUCAACAGCGACAACGAGUUCAUCUGCGGCAACUAUCGUUGUGAGCAGUCCGUCCGCGACGCGCUCCGCAGCGUCUUCGCCGGGCACAACGAGAUCCUCAACGUCUGGAAGGAUAAAGUGAAGAAAAAGAAGAAAAUAUUACUAGAAGAUUAGUUUUAGGAAUUUCUUUUAUUUCCUUGCAAUUUUCCUUUUAUUGGAUACUUGUAA